CCUACGGGAGGCAGCAGUGGGGAAUAUUGCCCAAUGGGCGCAAGCUUGAUGCAGGACCUCCGGGUGAGGGACGACGGCCUUCGGGUUGUAAACCUUCUUUAGCAGGGAAGAGGCGAAAGUGACGGUCCGUGCAGAAAAGCACCGGCUAACUACGUGCCAGCAGGCGGUAAU
rnacentral:rRNA from 1 species